AUUGAACGCUGGCGGCAUGCCUUACACAUGCAAGUCGAACGGUAACAGGUCUUCGGAUGCUGACGAGUGGCGCACGGGUGCGUAAUACAUCGGAACGUGCCCGAUCGUGGGGGCUAACGGAGCGAAAGCUUUGCUAAUACCGCAUACGAUCUACGGAUGAAAGCAGGGGACCGCAAGGCCUUGCACGGACGGAGCGGCCGAUGGCAGAGUAGGUAGUUGGGGGGAUAAAAGCUCACCAAGCCGACGAGCUGUAGCUGGGCUGAGGUGACGAGCAGCCACGCUGGAAAUGCGCGAAGGGCCAAAGGCCGACGGGAGGCAGCAGUGGGGAAGAUGGGACAAUGGGCGCAAGCAUGAUCCAGCUAUACCGCGUGAGAGAAGAAGGCCUUCGGGUUGGAAAGCCAGGUGGGUGGAAAAGAAAAGCAGCGGCUGAAUACCCCGCUUUUCUGACGGUACCCAAAGAAUAAGCACCGGCUAACUUCGUG
rnacentral:rRNA from 1 species